rnacentral:rRNA from 1 species
CAACAUUAAUGCAUACGGUGGAUGCCUUGGUCGAAAGUACCGAUGAAGGACGCACUUGACCGCGAUAGUCUGCGAGGAGCUGCCAAGAAGCUUUGAUCCGCAGGUUUCCGAAUGGGAUAACCCCUCCUUUUUUGGGGGAUCCUGUCAUGAAUACAUAGUGGCAGGAAGGGCACGCACUGAACUGAAACAUCUAAGUAAGUGCAGGAAAAGAAAUCAACAGAGAUUCCCCAAGUAGCGGCGAGCGAAACGGGAACAGCCUAAAGUUAUUUGCGCUUCGCGCAAGUGAAGACAAAUAACGGGUAGUGGGGUCUGUAAUAUGGUAUCAGAUGAGGAUAGCUGAAAUGUCUGGAAAGAUAUGCCAAAGAACAUGAUAGCUGUGUAAGCAAAAUUCAAAUCUGGCCUAACGGAUACCCGAGUAACUCAGGACACGUGUAAUCCUGGGCGAAUCUGUGGCGACCAUGCCAUAAGGCUAAAUAUACUUUCGGACCGAUAGUGAACUAGUACCGUGAGGGAAAGGUGAAAAGAAGGGCGAGAUGCCCUGUGAAAUAGUACCUGAAACCGUAUGCUGACAAGCAGUGGGAGCUGGAGGCUAGAUGUUGGACGUUAGAAGCUGGAAAAUAUCUAGCAUCUAAUUUCUAACUUCUAGCUUCUAGUAACCGCGUGCCUAUUGAAGAAUGAACCGGUGAGUUAUCGUUAUUUUCAAGUCUAAGCAAGUUUACUUGUGCAGGCGCAGUGAAAGCGAGGGUUAAUAGCCCGCAUGCCCUGAGUUUAUCGAAGGGUAAGAAGAUGACGUUAGACCCGAAACCGAGUGAGCUAACCAUGUCCAGGGUGAACCCGCCUUAAUCGGCGUGGGGAGGCCCGAACCCGUAUCUGGAUCAAAAGGUUGGGAUGAGGUGUGGUUAGGGGUGAUAUGCCUAACGAACUCGGAGAUAUAGGGGUAGAGCACUGGAUGGUCUUUCCGCCGCAAGGCGGGAGAUCAACCAAACUCCGAAUACUACUGCGAUUAUCUUGAGGAGUCAGUCCGAUCCGGCUAAGCGGAGCGGGCCUAAGGGAAACAUCCCAGAUCAAUAGCUAAGGUCCCUAAAACAGGUUAAGUGUUAAAGGUAGUCUUGAUCCUUAUACAGCCAGGAGGUUGGCUUAGAAGCAGCCACCCUUUAAAGAUAGCGUAACAGCUCACUGGUCUACUACGGAUUGGGGCGCCGACAAUGUAUCGGGGCUCAAACCUGUUACCGAAGCUUUGGGGGUGCACCAUAUGGUGCACCCGGUAGAGGAGCGUCCGCCAAACAGUGAAGGUGAGUUGUAAGACUUGCUGGAGAUUGGCGGAGUGAGAAUGCCGGUAUGAGUAGCGUAUUGAUGUGAAAAACAUCAUCGCCGUAAGCCCAAGGUUUUCCACGCAACGUUAAUCGGCGUGGAGUUAGUCGAUCCUAAGGUCAGGCCAAAUGGCGUAGCCGAUGGACAACAGGUUAAAAUUCCUGUACUUUUGUUUUCUGUCAAAGACUUCAAGGGUUGACGGAGUGGGAAAAUUUUCUACCCUGAGUGAGGAGCGUCAGCUCCGAAUCGAAGGGUCUAAGCAACAAGUUAGUGGAGGCAGGCAAAUCUACCUCCAUGUGUCAUCAGUUUCUCUUGAGCAAUCGAGCGAGCUGGUGGCUUUAAAAAAUACGAGUUGUUAUGGCGUAAGAGAAGAUUUUUCUGUUUCCAAGAAAAGACUCGUGAAGGAGAAAAUGAAAUUCGUACCAAAACCGACACAGGUGGGUAGAUUGAGUAUAUUAAGGCGAUCGGGAGAACUAUCCUUAAGGAACUCGGCAAAAUAGCUGGACGUAACUUAUUGGAGAUGUCCUGUCUUUCAUCGCAAGAUGGAGGACCUCAGUUAAUGACGCUAAGCGACUGUUUAUCAAAAACACAGCUCCCUGCUAAAUCGAAAGAUGAUGUAUAGGGGGUGACACCUGCCCAGUGCCAGUAAUUUAACACUUCAGUUGAUCCCUUUCCGCAAGGUCAGGAGGAGGUUGGGGUCUAAGAUCUGGUGAACGGCAGCAGUAACUAUAACUGUUCUAUGGUGAGAUUCGUUGCCUUAGAAGUAAAAAUCCGUGAAAGCGGAUGGUGUGUUUUUGAAAUUCUGCUAUAUGCUGGAAACUCUGUAGUAUCCUAAGCUAGUUAUUGAUUUUUGGUAAAAUUUCGGGUAAUACUGAAAUAAUGUCUAAUUUGAUAACUAAUAAUGUUCUAGGUGCAGACAAUCAGCAGGAAAGACUAGUGGAAAUUGGUUGGAUAGUUGGUUUUGUAGAUGGAGAAGGUUGCUUUUCAACUGGAAUUGUUCAACAAAAUGAUCGUCCCGGAAGAAAAGGAUACAAACUUCGUUAUCAAGUAUUCUAUGAAUUUGCAGUAACUCAAGGAGCAAAAAGUAUUGAUUCUCUUGAGAAAAUACACAAAUACUUUGGAGUAGGUAGCGUAGUAAUUAAUAGACGAUAUGAUAAUCAUAAAGAGCAUUUAUAUCGUUAUAUUGUUAGAAAGAAGGAAGAUUUGUUGAAUGUAAUAAUUCCUUUCUUCCAAAAGUAUCAUUUGCAAUCUUCUAAGCAAAAAGAUUUCGAAAAGUUUGUCCAAAUUGUUAGUCUAGUUGAUCAAAAAAGGCAUCUAGAAGCGGAUGGAUUAAUCGAAAUAUUAAAAAUUGCUGAAACCAUGAACCGACAAAAAUCCCGCCAAGAUCUAAUUAGAAUCCUCAGAGACUAAUACGCAGAAGUCCAAUGAAAAUUGGACAAGAUAGAGUCCGAACUUUAUGGCGACAUAAAGAGUCUAGGUUUAUCCUAGGAAUAACAUUUUUAAGCGAAAUUCCUUGUCUGGUGAGUUCAGACCCGCACGAAAGGUAGAACGACUUAGCGACUGUCUUGAGGAUAGACCCGGCGAAAUUGCAAUGGCUGUGAAGAUGCGGCCUUCCCAUACUUGGACAAAAAGACCCCGUGGAGCUUUACUGUAGCUUGACUCUGAUUUAAAAGUUAAAUUGUGUAGCGUAGGAGGGAUCCUGAGAGCAAUCGAAGGAAACAAUGAAACACCUCUCUUUUUAAGUUUUAAGUCUCACCAUGGGCCCUAGAAAAACGGGCCAUGGGACCAAGUCUGGCGGGCAGUUUUACUGGGGCGGUACCCUCCAAAAAAGUAACGGAGGGGUACAAAGGUACACUUGUCUCGAAUGGAAACCGAGACUGAAGCGUAAAGGUAUACAGUGUGCUUGACUGCGAGAGGUACAUCUCGAGCAGGGACGAAAGUCGGUCUUAAUGAUCCUCACGUAGCUUAUGGGAGCGCGUGGGCUUAACGGAUAAAAGCUACCCCGGGGAUACAAAUGUGUCCUGUCCCGAUAUAUAAUGAAAUCGGGACGAUAAUGUGGCU